rnacentral:sRNA from 1 species
GAGUAAACACUAAAUAAAGUAAUAAAUAAUAAAAAAGAUAAUAAUAACAAGAAAAAUGCUUAGUAUCUUAAUAAGCAAAUAAAAAUGACAAUGAUAAUAAGAAGGAAGAUGCUUAGUACCUUAAAGAUACCUGACAGUUAUUUGUUAAGUGGACAACUGGAUAAAUGAAUAACAAACUUUUUUAGGAAAUUCUGUUGGAAAAAUGCAGAAAUUCAAUAGGCACAGCUCUUCUGUAUUAUGAGCACCUUAAAAACCCAAACUAUGUGUAUUCCAUCUUUGUCUCCUGCAACUUGCCAAACCUUAUAGAGGUCCUUUGAUAAAUAUAUAAUAAAGAUGUGCUCAUACAGUUCAUAUUGUACAAUGUGUCACAUUUAGGUAUCAGUAGCAUUUUCAUUGUUGUGAAAAGUUUUUGUAAUAUUUUUAUAAUUUUUUGAGUUUAGAGUUAAGCUAUCUGAAUAUUUAUAAUGAUAAUAUUUUGGCUAUUAGAAACAGAGUAUCUUGCUGUAACAAAAUUACUACUAACACACUAAUUAUCCAGUAGAUAGAACAACAUACCUUGCUCUAAUGGAGUAAAUAUAUCUUAUUUGGUUUCAACUUAGACGGAAUGAAGUUGAUAAUAGUGAGACCUUGUUGGUACAAGACUCUGUAACAUAACCUGCGCUUCUCAACAAAGAAUUGCUUUUCUGACUUCUGCACUCAAUAGCAAGACAAAUCUCUCCUCUGUCUUUUUCUUAUCAGACUACUCAACAUGAAGGCAAUAAGAAUGAAGACCUUUAUGUAUAAUAA